rnacentral:rRNA from 1 species
GACGAACGCUGGCGGCGUGCUUAACACAUGCAAGUCGAACGGAAAGGCCCUGCUUUUGUGGGGUGCUCGAGUGGCGAACGGGUGAGUAACACGUGAGUAACCUGCCCUUGACUUUGGGAUAACUUCAGGAAACUGGGGCUAAUACCGGAUAGGAGCUCCUGCUGCAUGGUGGGGGUUGGAAAGUUUCGGCGGUUGGGGAUGGACUCGCGGCUUAUCAGCUUGUUGGUGGGGUAGUGGCUUACCAAGGCUUUGACGGGUAGCCGGCCUGAGAGGGUGACCGGCCACAUUGGGACUGAGAGAGGGAGCAGACGGCUACGGGAGGCAGCAGGGGGGAGUAUGGCACAACGGGCGGAAGCCUGAGGAAGCAGCGCCGCGGGCGGGAUGACGGCCUUUUGGUUGUAAACCGCUUUCGCCUGUGACGAAGCGUGAGUGACGGUAAUGGGUAAAGAAGCACCGGCUAACUACGUG